rnacentral:rRNA from 1 species
GUUGGCGGCGGACGGGUGAGUAACACGUGGGUAACCUACCUAUAAGACUGGGAUAACUUCGGGAAACCGGAGCUAAUACCGGAUAAUAUUUCGAACCGCAUGGUUCGAUAGUGAAAGAUGGUUUUGCUAUCACUUAUAGAUGGACCCGCGCCGUAUUAGCUAGUUGGUAAGGUAACGGCUUACCAAGGCGACGAUACGUAGCCGACCUGAGAGGGUGAUCGGCCACACUGGAACUGAGACACGGUCCAGACUCCUACGGGAGGCAGCAGUAGGGAAUCUUCCGCAAUGGGCGAAAGCCUGACGGAGCAACG